GGAAGACUUUCUUUCAACUCCAGAGACUUAUGAUAGUAGAGCUGCGCAGAUUUCGGUGCUUGGCUCUCAAAGCAACUCUAAUAUUCUUCCCUGCAUUGCGACCAAGAAGAAAGCGAGGCUUGGUCAGGGGUCUCAGCUCACACUUAACUCAUUCUUCCAGAAACGCACACAUAGAAGUGAGACUUCUAGCAGCAGCUUUGCUGAUUCUAAACUUUGUCAGACAGACAUCUCUUACUCUCAGAUUGAGCCUGAUGGAGUGCCUUCUUCUGCUGAUGAAAGUGGCGCUUCAAAGGACUGCAGAUCAAGUGCAAUUGACAGUAAUCAACAUAAGUGCCAGCUAGAUGCAUGCGA
rnacentral:misc_RNA from 1 species